CCCUUAGAUGUCCUGGGCUGCACGCGCGCUACACUGAAGCUAUCAACACGUUUUCCCUCCCUGAGAAGGGCGGGUAACCUUUUGAAUCAGCUUCGUGGUAGGGAUCGGGGCUUGCAAUUGUUCCCCGUGAACCAGGAAUUCCUAGUAGACGCGAGUCAUAAGCUCGCAUCGAUUAAGUCCCUGCCCUUUGUACACACCGCCCGUCGCUACUACCGAUUGAACGUUUUAGUGAGGCAUUUGGACCGACGCAUCUCAGUUUAACCGCUGGUUUGUGUUGGAAAGACUUCCAAACUUGAGCGUUUAGAGGAAGUAAAAGUCGUAACA
rnacentral:rRNA from 1 species